UGUGUGGCCUCCUAGAAACAGCAUCAAGCAGGCCCACAUAGGAACCCAUGCUGCCCAUUCCCUCUUGGAAGGAGGUGGGAGCCACGACAGUGGCUGCAAUCAUGCAGCCUGGCCUAUCUAGGUGAAAGGAGAUUCGAAACUGAGCAGCUUGGAUGCUCCUCCUCAUGGCCAGUCUCCAGAGAGGCCUACUGCUCACCAGAUGUGUGGAUGAACAAACCUGAACAGCCUGGAGGCUGGUGAUAUCUACCCCCACAGCGCUUCUUCCUUGGUCCCCCAAGCAGGCUCCAUAACUCCAAGACUUCACGCAGCCUUUUCUGAACUUGGAAGUCAAGAGAAAAUUCACAGAACUUUGGAAAAUACAUUUUCUUUUAAGGAAGAAUUUUUUGUUUUCAUUUCAACAGCCCUGGCUGGUGAUGAGGGGUGAUGCGAGGUGCCCUGUUUUCCAUCCUAACACCUAUUUCCAGGUGGGGGCAGGGAGGGCUCCAACCUGAAAUGUUAUUUCAAAACCUUUCCGGGCCUUGCAGCUCCAUUUCCAGGCCACAUGCUGCAAAGCACGGCACGAUUUCCCAUUACGUGCUGUUGCCCUUUCUCGUCUGAGCACCUUUCAAAGUGGGAAGACCCAGCCUGCUGCAACACCCUCCCUCCUGUCCCCAUAAAUUAAGUCUCACUGCCUGAUGUGAGGCUUAAAUAAAUAGCCUUGCCCGGCACCCGAUGGCCACACUCCUGAUAGAUGGGCUUGCCAAGAGCAGCAAACUCAGCUCGCUCCUCCUUGCCCCUCCACAGAGAGAAGAUGAAACUGGUGUUUUGCAAAUGCUUCCUGCCUGCUUUCUGCCAGCCAAGGCACAUUCCAAGAAGGAGCAGGCCAGCAAAGUCUUGUCAUCUGACGGGGUGAGGACAGAGAUGGAUGAUGCGCUCUUUGCCAGAGAAGGCCACGUUCAGACACUCCCAGAUAGCCAGCUGCCACUUUAUUAACAGCAAAGAUCCCCAUCUGAACGAGGCUGGGAAAGAAAAUAUUUAUGCUUGCCUGUCAGGAGGACCUUCAUUUUUCUUCUGGGGAGCCAGCCAGGGUGCUAGUCCAGGGAUGGAGGAGUGUGACGUGCCUAUGGGGUUGCCCCAGGCCCUUCUGCAUCCCAGGGUUGAUGGAGAGUCCAGAAUGUUCCCAGGGCAGCUCUGGAUGGGGUCGGGAGGUUUCAGAAGAGCUGGAUAUAGGGAGUUCAGGGCCUGAGAAAGCAGAACACACCCUGGCACCUGUUAACUGCAAACAAGAGGACCUGGGUGGGGGAGUGGGUGCUACAGUUAGAAAUCAGUGGCAAAUAGGCCAUUAAAUGAUCUCAUUAUUAAUUAAAAACACAUAGCAGCAUGCAUCUGAUAAGAAACUUUGUACUAAGGAUAAAAUAAUUUUGUAUUGGCAGAAAAUAUCAACACUGGAGCAGAGCUUAUCAUUUAAGCUGGGCAUAUAUUAAAAUCAGUUUAUAUUAUUACUCUUCUCAUGGUCAUUAUUUUGAACAAAAGUUGAAAACCAGUUCUUUAACGGUUUC
rnacentral:lncRNA from 1 species